CCCGCACAAGCGGUGGAGUAUGUGGUUUAACUCGAUGCAACGCGAAGAACCUUACCUGGUCUUGACAUCCCGGAGACCCUUAGGAAACUAGGGGGUGCUUCCAUCUGGAAGAAUCUGGAGACAGGUGCUGCAUGGCUGUCGUCAGCUCGUGUCGUGAGAUGUUGGGUUAAGUCCCGCAACGAGCGCAACCCUUGCCUUUAGUUGCCAGCAGUUCGGCUGGGCACUCUAAAGGGACUGCCGGUGUUAAACCGGAGGAAGGUGGGGAUGACGUCAAGUCCUCAUGGCCUUUAUGACCAGGGCUACACACGUACUACAAUGGCCGAUACAAAGGGCAGCGACACUGCGAGGUGAAGCCAAUCCCGUAAAAUCGGUCUCAGUCCGGAUUGGAGUCUGCAACUCGACUCCAUGAAGUUGGAAUCGCUAGUAAUCGUGGAUCAGCAUGCCACGGUGAAUACGUUCCCGGGCCUU
rnacentral:rRNA from 1 species